CUUAGUAAUGAUGAUUCUGUCUUACCGCCCCAGUCUGAGAAUUCAUGACUGAUUGGUAUCCACUGAUAAC